UGCGUAGGCGGUGCGGUAAGUCUGUUGUGAAAUCUCCGGGCUCAACUCGGAGCCUGCAACGGAAACUGCCGUGCUGGAGUAUGGGAGAGGUGAGUGGAAUUCCCGGUGUAGCGGUGAAAUGCGUAGAUAUCGGGAGGAAGACCUGUGGCGAAAGCGGCUCACUGGACCAUUACUGACGCUGAUGCACGAAAGCUAGGGGAGCAAACAGGAUUAGAUACCCUGGUAGUCCUAGCCCUAAACGAUGAUCGCUUGGUGUGACAGGUACCCAAUCCUGUUGUGCCGGAGCUAACGCGUUAAGCGAUCCGCCUGGGGAGUACGGUCGCAAGGCUGAA
rnacentral:rRNA from 1 species